rnacentral:lncRNA from 1 species
GGGAGGACCUGACCCAGGACAUGGAGCUUGUGGAGACCAGGCCUGCAGGGGAUGGAACCUUCCAGAAGUGGGCAUCUGUGGUGGUACCUCUUGGGAAGGAGCAGAAUUACACAUGCCGUGUGGAGCAUGAGGGGCUGCCUGAGCCACUUUCCCAGAGAUGGGAGCCUCCUCCAUCAACCGAUUCCAACAUGGAAACCACUGUCAUUUAUGUUGUCCUUGGAGCUGUGGCCAUCAUUGCAGCUGUGAUCAUUGGAGCUGUGGUGACUGUUGUGAGGAAGAGGAGGAGAAACACAGGUGGGAAAGGAGUCUACACCCCUGCUCCAGCAUGAAGACAGCUGCCUGGAGUGGACUGAGUGACAGACGAUGUGUUCAGGUCUCUCCUGUGACAUCCAGAGUCCUCAGUUCUCUUUAGACACCAGUGUCUGAUGUUCCCUGUGAUCUAUGGCUUCAGUGUGAAGAACUGUGAAGCCCAGCCUGCCCUGCACUUCAGGACCCUGUCCCUGCACUGUCUGUGUUCCCUUCCACAGCCAACCUUGCUGGUCCAGCCUAGGAGUGGGGGUGGGGACAUCUGCAUCCUGUCACUCCCUGCUACCCUGAGCUUCUGCCCCUCAUUUCCACAUUGAGAAUAAGAAUCUGAGUGUGAACUUGAUUGUUCACAUCCUUGACACAAGUGUGGAUGGCUUUUUAAAUUGCUGGAUGGAAUACUUAGAGGUUUUUUGUUUUGGGGUUUUGCUUUGUUUGGUUUUGUUUUUGAAAAAAAUAAAAGGCAGAUGGAGAAGCUUCCAGAA